rnacentral:tRNA from 1 species
UCCUUGAUAGCUCAGUUGGUAAAGAAUCUGCCUGCAAUGCAGGAGAGCCCAGUUCAAUUUCUGGGUCAGGAAG